rnacentral:rRNA from 1 species
AUUGAACGCUGGCGGCAUGCCUUACACAUGCAAGUCGAACGGCAGCGGGGACUUCGGUCCGCCGGCGAGUGGCGAACGGGUGAGUAAUGUAUCGGAACGUACCAUCCAGUGGGGGAUAACUAUCCGAAAGGAUAGCUAAUACCGCAUAUUCUGUGAGCAGGAAAGCAGGGGAUCGCAAGACCUUGCGCUGAUUGAGCGGCCGAUAUCAGAUUAGCUAGUUGGUGAGGUAAAGGCUCACCAAGGCGACGAUCUGUAGCGGGUCUGAGAGGAUGAUCCGCCACACUGGAACUGAGACACGGUCCAGACUCCUACGGGAGGCAGCAGUGGGGAAUUUUGGACAAUGGGGGCAACCCUGAUCCAGCCAUGCCGCGUGAGUGAAGAAGGCCUUCGGGUUGUGAAGCUCUUUCGGCCGGGAAAAAAUCGCACGGGUUAAUACCCUGUGUGGAUGAUGGUACCGGAAUAAGAAGCACCGGCUAACUACGUGCCAGCCGCCGCGGUAAUAC